rnacentral:rRNA from 1 species
CAGUUCGGAUUGUAGUCUGCAACCCGACUACAUGAAGCUGGAAUCGCUAGUAAUCGCGGAUCAGAAUGCCGCGGUGAAUACGUUCCCGGGUCUUGUACACACCGCCCGUCACACCAUGGGAGUCGGAAAUGCCCGAAGUCUGUGACCUAACCGUAAGGAAGGAGCAGCCGAAGGCAGGUCGGAUGACUGGGGUGAAGUCGUAACAAGGUAAC